AACACUUUCAAUGGUCAGUAGAUCAUCCUUCCCGUUUGCAUUCCUUUUUUAUUUAAUUUUUUCCGCCUUAAUUAUGACCUACGACAAAUUGCAAAAAUAUGAGUUACUGGUGUGAUCGAAUUACUAGUAGUAUUGUUGAAUGAGGUAUGCCUUUGUUUGUUGAUAAUUCUAAUUGAAGUAUAUAUGGUCAUGUGGAUGUAAUUGCAGUUGUUGAUGAUAAUUCUAAUUGAAGUAUAUAUUCUAAUUGAAAUUGAUUUUCAUCUCUGUUUUUAUUUCUUUAAAGAGUGGAAGAUGAUUUGGUUAAAUGGGAUUGUUCUUGUUUGGAAAAAGGAGAGAAAUAGAGAGCUAUUGAUGGCAGUAAGAGUUGGUGACUAAAAUGGCAAGGUUCGUGCUUGGAGGGUGGUUGAAAAAUUGUCUCAACAAAAUCCCUUGUGAUUUGAAGGAGCUAAUGCACAGAUUCUUCUGCAACAUUUUUGUAGUAUGUUUUAACUGGCAGUACUCAGUUCUAGCCAUCACGGGGGUUGAACAUCUAAAAUGUUGGCUCAACUGAGGGAAGAGUUGGUGUCCAUCAUUUGGAUUUGGAUGAUUCUCAGCAAGAGAAAAACUUCACCUUCAAAUGUAUAGAAUUCUUGCUGCGAUUGAAGCAACGAUGGGUUGAGCUGAAAAUGGACUGAUUAGAUGUAUGUUAGGUGUUAUAGGGAAGGAUUUGGAAGGAUUUGUGUUUGCUUAUUGUAAUACUUGUGUUUGAUCUUUGUAAUUUGUCCUAAAUUAACUUAAUUAAAAUUUGA